rnacentral:rRNA from 1 species
AGCAGCCGCGGUAAUUCCAGCUCCAAUAGCGUAUAUUAAAGUUGUUGCAGUUAAAAAGCUCGUAGUUGAAUUUUGGAUUCUUCCAAUUGGUCCAUCUUUUAGAUGAGUACUGGUUGUGUGGGGUCUAUCCGCCUGGUGAUACGUAAUGUCCUUUAUUGGAUGUUGCGGGUAGUCAGGACCUUUACCUUGAAAAAAUUAGAGUGUUUAAAGCAGGCUUAUGCCGGAAUACAUUAGCAUGGAAUAAUAGAAUAGGACGAAGUUGUUUUAUUUUGUUGGUUUCUAGGACAACCGUAAUGAUUAAUAGGGAUAGGUUGGGGGCAUUAGUAUUCAAUUGUCAGAGGUGAAAUUCUUGGAUUUAUUGAAGACUAACUACUGCGAAAGCAUUUGCCAAGGAUGUU